GACGAACGCUGGCGGCGUGCUUAACACAUGCAAGUCGAACGGAAAGGCCCUGCUUGCCGGGUACUCGAGUGGCGAACGGGUGAGUAACACGUGGGUGAUCUGCCCUGCACUUCGGGAUAAGCCUGGGAAACUGGGUCUAAUACCGGAUAGGAGCCAUUUUUAGUGUGAUGGUUGGAAAGUUUUUUCGGUGUAGGAUGAGCUCGCGGCCUAUCAGCUUGUUGGUGGGGUAAUGGCCUACCAAGGCGGCGACGGGUAGCCGGCCUGAGAGGGUGGACGGCCACAUUGGGACUGAGAUACGGCCCAGACCCCUACGGGAGGCAGCAGUGGGGAAUAUUGCACAAUGGGCGCAAGCCUGAUGCAGCGACGCCGCGUGGGGGAUGACGGCCUUCGGGUUGUAAACUCCUUUCGCUAGGGACGAAGCUUUUUGUGACGGUACCUAGAUAAGAAGCACCGGCUAACUACGUG
rnacentral:rRNA from 1 species